rnacentral:lncRNA from 1 species
AGCGGGAGGAAGACUUACCAGCUCCGUGGAGUUUCGACUCCAGAGAAUCCACAGGACCUUCUCUUAGAAGAUACAAAAGGGCGACAUCUCGGUUCAGAGUUUAUUCUCGGCGCAGGUGGCGGAGCCUGGGAGCAUCUUCCAGGAGGCACAGAGGCCAGAGAAGCACCGGCAGAGGGAGGCCAUCUCCCCAAACCCGGACCUCAGUGCCAGGGAACGGGCAGCCUGGGGUGGUAGGUACAAGUGGCUGGCACCAUCCCACUGCCCCAGAGGGCCAGAGGCGGAAGGAGGGGUCGCAACCAGGAGGAUCCCGAAAAUGUGCAGGGCAGCUGGUCUCUAAAGCAUCCCCUUCAGCUGAAUAAAGUCCACGUCCAGCCCAUGACCAGGGCCCGAGGGAUUCUGCCAAGAGCGAGCAGCGAGUGGCCAGCCAGGACUCCUGUCAUCCCCUGGACAUGGCUUGGGAAGGCUGAGCUAGGCUCUGGGCACUGGCAGCCUCAGGGCACCUCCCAGCAUCCUGAGUCUGCACACUCAGCUCCACGCAGACACUCAGAGACCCAGGGCGGUGGGGAGCCUCCAUGUUCAUAUGCCGUCUGUUCACGGUGUCGAGAAAGACACUGGGCCAUUCACCGCCUCUGCCUGGAAGUGACAUGUGUCACUUCUGCUCACAUUUCACUGUCCCAUGGCCUCACCAACCUGCAAGGAACCAGGAAAAGCAGGAGAGCAGUGGACCUGUCUGGUGAGCAGUCCUGAGCUUGCCACCCUGGCGUCCCCUUGACGUGGCCAGUCAAUCAGGAGGCACGUGCGUUUGCAAACCUGGCCGCCCCACCUGCGUGAGCCUGGCUCACAGUCGUCGACUCAGGACCCGAUGCUCCGAGGUGGUGGGUAUGCGCGGGGCUGGUGUCUUCCGCUCAGGAGCUUCAAACGCGGAGCGUUUGAUCUAAGUCAUCAGGAUGGAGCUACAGCUGCCCCCUGGUCCCUGGGCUGAAGGGGACACACACAGAAAGGAACGCGAGCUGGGAGGCGCUGGCCGCCUGGCCCUGGAGUCCGAGGCCUGCUGGGGUGGAGCCCUGCCCGCUCCGGGCAUCCGUGCCAAAGACAUGCCUGGAGCUUUCCAAAAGGGAAUUCGACCUAAAAAUGGAAACCAGCCUCCUUCUGCCCCACGCCCCCGCCUGCCUGCCCAGACUCCCAGGAGAGGGGCUGCCGGAAAAUCAGUCGGCGGGGGCUUGGACACCCACGCUGCGCUCGCGGUUCUCACAGCGGCCAGGAGAGAAUCGCUUUGAAUCGACGUGAGCUGCCUUGCGCAGGAAGUUACGCGUUCCCCAGGGAGGAUCGCGGACAAGGAUCGACUGUAGAGGCUUUGCUGACGAAUCCUUCGCUGAGGAGCUCCCUGCAGCCACGUCCCCACGUCAAAGGACCUGACUCAGGGAAGACGCACCAGCAGUUUCAGGAACCAUGGAAACCCCGAGGAGCCUGAAAGCCUUAAAUGACAGGUGCUCAGAAAGCACUUAGUGUCGUGCCUGCCCGGGCAAGCCCUCGGGGAAGACGGCCGCUGAUGAGGACAAUGAUGAUGGUAAGGAAGAAAUUUGGUUCCACCACUUCAGACUCCAGCCUCUCACCAGUCUUUCUAACAAUCACAUAUUUUCCAGAUUCUCUACAGUGAGCACAUAUUCCCUCCAUAAUCUGAAAAAGAACAAGGAUUCCAGCAAUCGUCCUCUCAUUCCUAAAGCCAAGGGAGAGAAACUCUGAUGCACCUAGAGGCUGGCCUGUCCUGGCCCUUGGGGUGGAACAGAGGAGCCUCUUUCUUCUCUGGCUCGGGCUGGCGGCAGCCGUGACAUCAUCCCUGCGGCGUGUAAUUCGAGAAGCAUGUUGGGAAGUGUUGGCUGAUUGACCACGCGUGCUGGUGUCCUCUCCCAGGAGGCCAACAGGCCCGUCCUAACAGGCAGCUGGUUGUGUCUCUCACCGGCGAUUAGGGCUGGGAGCCGCAUCUUCACUCCAUGGGGCAGACCCGGGUGGGAAGAGUGUGGAAGGGAUCAAGUUUCAGAGGAGAACACCAGGUCGGCAUCAGGGCACAUACGAGGGUCCCCUACCAGGGUGCCCCCAGCCCCUCCUCUCCUUUCCAGCCCUUGCUGCCUGCCCCACUCAGCUCCCUGGGUGGGCUGCAGUUGCUGCCUCGUCUCCGCACAGAAGACAGAUGGUGGAGAAGGCUUGGGGGGCUGUCCAGGGCAUCCGUGGGAGCCGCAGCUGGACGGCUGGGCCGGGAGGUGGACAGGGUCCAGGAUGCUUGACCAACACCACAGACUGGUGAGCAGCAGUUUUGUGUCUGUUGUUUCCUGUCUGAGGCCGUAUCAUGAGCAGGUACAUUUGAGAGGCCGGGGCGUCCUGGGCUCCGUAGACAGAGCUCCUCGAAACCUCAGUGCUGAGGCUGCUGGACGGGGAAACUCUGUCUACCCUAAAGGAUGGUGGGAACCACAGGAGCGCUCAAACUGCAUGCCUGGACCCAGGAAAUGAGCGGCCAGUGGUCCUGCCUGGUCACCUGGGGCAGGAGUCAAAGCCCCGGUCUUGGGUGGGUCAGGGAUCACAGGAGUACCCCAUCCUUGGCCGCUGGACCCCGUAGGAAGACUGUGCUGGGAUGCCCUCCUCCCCAUCCUGUGGGCGAGGCGUGUGCUUAUCUUCUGCCUGGGAAGGGGCGCCUCGUGACAUGGGAGGGGCCUCUCCCGAUGACCCCUCUUCCUCUUAUUAGGCGAGCACUCAAGUUGUGGGUCUCCCAGCUGGAACGUCCCUGGACAUUUUCUGGGGAGACCCCACAUGUCUGGAUGACACUUGGCAAAAGCGUCCUUUGUCGUCUCGGAAGUGCUGGGACACUGCGUGGGGACACCUGGGUCUGGCGAGGGCCCCUGGCUGCCCGGAGCCCGUGCCUUCAUCACCUCGGCGUCUCGAGGAGCCCAGCCAGCUGAGCCCAGGAGUCGACCUCUGCUGUGCCGUGUCAUCUUUGGACCCCCACGGAGGCUCGAGGGCCUGCCACAGAGCCCCGGGAGCCCCUCAGGGGUUUCUGAGCCAUAUCACUAGAGACUGGACCCAGGUCCCCAUGCCCACCCUGGAAGCCAGUCUGACCACCUUGAAGAAGCGCCAAGUGUGGGCUAGGUACAGUUUCCAGCCCUAUGACAGUUCUUUGGGCCAGAAAUUGUUCGUGUUCUUACUCCCACUUUACCUCAAGGGGACCUAGGGCUCAGAGAAGUGAAGCAACCUGUCGAAAGUCACACAGCAUUUAAGCAGCAGAGCUGGGAUUGGAGCCACACAGGCCAGGCUGUCUUCCCAGAACACAUCUUCCCGGCGUCAGGUUGACAGGCCUAGGCCGGGGCACUUGCGUCCCCCCCACGCAGAGGGGCCGGCCUGCUGCUCCGCAUUAGCUAACACGGUGCACAAAAGGAUGCUAAAGAAGAAAAUCAAUUUACAGUAGAACCGGCCAUCUAUUUCAGGGCAAAAACAAUUACCUUUAUGUUCAGGAGAGACGGGAGAAAGCACUUAUUUCAAUAGCUGUCUCAUAACUACCCAAGCAGCUAUUUUCAGAAGCUGUUCAGGUGUUUUCUUCUCUUUUCCUGGAGAAAUCCUCCUUCCCUCUGCCCUGCCGGCCCAGGCUAGACCGCGAUGGCUCAUGUCGGCAGAGCCCACAGGCGCCCCCAGAGGGCUGGGCGGGCGGGAUUCCUGGGACACAUUUCUGAAGCCGUUAAAAAAGUGGACUUCGGGGGCUGCAGAGAGAACGCUGCCCCGCCUCCGUCGGGGGGAGGAGACAGGUCAGGUCCCCUCGCCGAGGCAGUUAAAAAGCAAACACAGCCCCCAAAUCACACUAACUAUGUUAAGCAAACACACGGCAGGCGGCGUGGAUAUUAGGUCAUUUCUCAUAAAUAUUAAUACCGGAGUUUUC